UACGUAGGGUGCGAGCGUUGUCCGGAAUUAUUGGGCGUAAAGAGCUUGUAGGCGGUUUGUCGCGUCUGCUGUGAAAAUCCGGGGCUCAACCCCGGACUUGCAGUGGGUACGGGCAGACUAGAGUGUGGUAGGGGAGACUGGAAUUCCUGGUGUAGCGGUGAAAUGCGCAGAUAUCAGGAGGAACACCGGUGGCGAAGGCGGGUCUCUGGGCAGUAACUGACGCUGAGGAGCGAAAGCGUGGGGAGCGAACAGGA
rnacentral:rRNA from 1 species